rnacentral:lncRNA from 1 species
ACUUGGAUAAGUAAGGACGCGUUUCAAUCUAAUAAGAAGUCCAGUUGCCAUGACUCAACUUCCAGAUAAAAGAUUGAAUGUGGAUGGAAAACUCUGAUCAGUAAGAGUAACCAUGCCCAGAUCUGAGUCAGCUUAGCCAUUAUGACACAUCUUCCAUUGUGACAUCACAGCCCUGCCUGCUUACAUGUCAGAUGAGCAGAGCUGGUCAAAUGUUUUGUCUGAACCUAAUCCAGGGCUAAUCGUGAGGCAAAGGAAGAUGUCUGUUUCGGUUAGCUGAUGCUCUGGGGGGCACAGAGGUGUUGAAACACAGAGCUAUUUGUAUGAGGGAGCCUGCUCUAUGCUCCCUAAGUUAGCCUGCUGCACUCAGCUGUGGUGGAACAUGUCCCAUCGUUAGCAUUAAAGAA